GGAGGAAAAGAAACCAACAGGGAUUGCCUCAGUAACGGCGAGUGAAGCGGCAAGAGCUCAACUUUGGAAUCGCUCCGGCGAGUUGUAGUCUGGAGGUGGCCACCACGAGGUGUUUUAGCAGCAGGCAAGUCCUUUGGAACAAGGCGCCAGCGAGGGUGACAGCCCCGUACCUGCUUUUGCUAGUGCUUCCUGUGGCCCACCGACGAGUCGAGUUGUUUGGGAAUGCAGCUCUAAGUGGGUGGUAAAUUCCAUCUAAGGCUAAAUAUUGGCGAGAGACCGAUAGCGAACAAGUACAGUGAUGGAAAGAUGAAAAGCACUUUGAAAAGAGAGUGAAACAGUACGUGAAAUUGUUGAAAGGGAAGGGCUUGCACCCAGACACGGUUUUACCGGGCCAGCAUCAAGUAGAACGGGGUUAAAAGACCUGGGGAAUGUAGCUACCUCUUGGUAGUGUUAUAGCCCUUGGGUGAUGACCCCCGUUUUGCUUGAGGACAGCGGUCUCUAGGAUGCUGGCGCAAUGGUUGCAAGCCACCCGUCUUGCU
rnacentral:rRNA from 1 species